UACAGAGGGUGCGAGCGUUGUCCGGAAUCACUGGGCGUAAAGGGCGCGUAGGUGGCGACCCAAGUCGAUGGUGAAAGCUCGCCGCUCAACGGCGAGUCGGCCACCGAUACUGGGUUGCUGGAGCACUGUAGAGGCAGAUGGAAUUCCGGGUGUAGCGGUGGAAUGCGUAGAGAUCCGGAAGAACACCGGUGGCGAAGGCGGUCUGCUGGGCAGUUGCUGACACUGGAGGCGCGACAGCGUGGGGAGCAAACAGG
rnacentral:rRNA from 1 species